rnacentral:rRNA from 12 species
UUUAUUUUUGAAAACUCUGCAAGUGCCUGAUCCCGUCCGAUCUCAGAAGCUAAGCAGGGCUGGGCCUGGUUAGUACUUGGAUGGGAGCCUUGGAAGACCAGGGGCCAUUAGAC